rnacentral:rRNA from 1 species
AGUGAACGCUGGCGGUAGGCCUAACACAUGCAAGUCGAACGGCAGCACAGUAAGAGCUUGCUCUUACGGGUGGCGGGUCGCGGAAGGGUGAGGAAUACAUCGGGAUCUACUUUUUCGUGGGGGAUAACGUAGGGAAACUUACGCUAAUACCGCAUACGACCUACGGGUGAAAGCAGGGGAUCUUCGGACCUUGCGCGGUUGAAUGAGCCGAUGUCGGAUUAGCUAGUUGGCGGGGUAAAGGCCCACCAAGGCGACGAUCCGUAGCUGGUCUGAGAGGAUGAUCAGCCACACUGGAACUGAGACACGGUCCAGACUCCUACGGGAGGCAGCAGUGGGGAAUAUGGGACAAUGGGCGCAAGCCUUAUCCAGUCAUCGCGCGUGGGUGAAGAAGGCCUUCGGGUUGUAAAGCCCUUUUGUUGGGAAAGAAAAGCAGCAGGUUAAUACCCCGCUGUUCUGACGGUACCCAAAGAAUAAGCACCGGCUAACUUCGUG